rnacentral:misc_RNA from 1 species
UACCGAGCCAUCCUGCAGCUGGUGCG